rnacentral:rRNA from 1 species
GGUUAAGCGACUAAGCGUACACGGUGGAUGCCCUGGCAGUCAGAGGCGAUGAAGGACGUGCUAAUCUGCGAUAAGCGUCGGUAAGGUGAUAUGAACCGUUAUAACCGGCGAUUUCCGAAUGGGGAAACCCAGUGUGUUUCGACACACUAUCAUUAACUGAAUCCAUAGGUUAAUGAGGCGAACCGGGGGAACUGAAACAUCUAAGUACCCCGAGGAAAAGAAAUCAACCGAGAUUCCCCCAGUAGCGGCGAGCGAACGGGGAGCAGCCCAGAGCCUGAAUCAGUGUGUGUGUUAGUGGAAGCGUCUGGAAAGGCGCGCGAUACAGGGUGACAGCCCCGUACACAAAAAUGCACAUGCUGUGAGCUCGAUGAGUAGGGCGGGACACGUGGUAUCCUGUCUGAAUAUGGGGGGACCAUCCUCCAAGGCUAAAUACUCCUGACUGACCGAUAGUGAACCAGUACCGUGAGGGAAAGGCGAAAAGAACCCCGGCGAGGGGAGUGAAAAAGAACCUGAAACCGUGUACGUACAAGCAGUGGGAGCACGCUUAGGCGUGUGACUGCGUACCUUUUGUAUAAUGGGUCAGCGACUUAUAUUCUGUAGCAAGGUUAACCGAAUAGGGGAGCCGAAGGGAAACCGAGUCUUAACUGGGCGUUAAGUUGCAGGGUAUAGACCCGAAACCCGGUGAUCUAGCCAUGGGCAGGUUGAAGGUUGGGUAACACUAACUGGAGGACCGAACCGACUAAUGUUGAAAAAUUAGCGGAUGACUUGUGGCUGGGGGUGAAAGGCCAAUCAAACCGGGAGAUAGCUGGUUCUCCCCGAAAGCUAUUUAGGUAGCGCCUCGUGAAUUCAUCUCCGGGGGUAGAGCACUGUUUCGGCAAGGGGGUCAUCCCGACUUACCAACCCGAUGCAAACUGCGAAUACCGGAGAAUGUUAUCACGGGAGACACACGGCGGGUGCUAACGUCCGUCGUGAAGAGGGAAACAACCCAGACCGCCAGCUAAGGUCCCAAAGUCAUGGUUAAGUGGGAAACGAUGUGGGAAGGCCCAGACAGCCAGGAUGUUGGCUUAGAAGCAGCCAUCAUUUAAAGAAAGCGUAAUAGCUCACUGGUCGAGUCGGCCUGCGCGGAAGAUGUAACGGGGCUAAACCAUGCACCGAAGCUGCGGCAGCGACGCUUAUGCGUUGUUGGGUAGGGGAGCGUUCUGUAAGCCUGCGAAGGUGUGCUGUGAGGCAUGCUGGAGGUAUCAGAAGUGCGAAUGCUGACAUAAGUAACGAUAAAGCGGGUGAAAAGCCCGCUCGCCGGAAGACCAAGGGUUCCUGUCCAACGUUAAUCGGGGCAGGGUGAGUCGACCCCUAAGGCGAGGCCGAAAGGCGUAGUCGAUGGGAAACAGGUUAAUAUUCCUGUACUUGGUGUUACUGCGAAGGGGGGACGGAGAAGGCUAUGUUGGCCGGGCGACGGUUGUCCCGGUUUAAGCGUGUAGGCUGGUUUUCCAGGCAAAUCCGGAAAAUCAAGGCUGAGGCGUGAUGACGAGGCACUACGGUGCUGAAGCAACAAAUGCCCUGCUUCCAGGAAAAGCCUCUAAGCAUCAGGUAACAUCAAAUCGUACCCCAAACCGACACAGGUGGUCAGGUAGAGAAUACCAAGGCGCUUGAGAGAACUCGGGUGAAGGAACUAGGCAAAAUGGUGCCGUAACUUCGGGAGAAGGCACGCUGAUAUGUAGGUGAAGUCCCUCGCGGAUGGAGCUGAAAUCAGUCGAAGAUACCAGCUGGCUGCAACUGUUUAUUAAAAACACAGCACUGUGCAAACACGAAAGUGGACGUAUACGGUGUGACGCCUGCCCGGUGCCGGAAGGUUAAUUGAUGGGGUCAGCGCAAGCGAAGCUCUUGAUCGAAGCCCCGGUAAACGGCGGCCGUAACUAUAACGGUCCUAAGGUAGCGAAAUUCCUUGUCGGGUAAGUUCCGACCUGCACGAAUGGCGUAAUGAUGGCCAGGCUGUCUCCACCCGAGACUCAGUGAAAUUGAACUCGCUGUGAAGAUGCAGUGUACCCGCGGCAAGACGGAAAGACCCCGUGAACCUUUACUAUAGCUUGACACUGAACAUUGAGCCUUGAUGUGUAGGAUAGGUGGGAGGCUUUGAAGUGUGGACGCCAGUCUGCAUGGAGCCGACCUUGAAAUACCACCCUUUAAUGUUUGAUGUUCUAACGUGGACCCGUGAUCCGGGUUGCGGACAGUGUCUGGUGGGUAGUUUGACUGGGGCGGUCUCCUCCUAAAGAGUAACGGAGGAGCACGAAGGUUGGCUAAUCCUGGUCGGACAUCAGGAGGUUAGUGCAAUGGCAUAAGCCAGCUUGACUGCGAGCGUGACGGCGCGAGCAGGUGCGAAAGCAGGUCAUAGUGAUCCGGUGGUUCUGAAUGGAAGGGCCAUCGCUCAACGGAUAAAAGGUACUCCGGGGAUAACAGGCUGAUACCGCCCAAGAGUUCAUAUCGACGGCGGUGUUUGGCACCUCGAUGUCGGCUCAUCACAUCCUGGGGCUGAAGUAGGUCCCAAGGGUAUGGCUGUUCGCCAUUUAAAGUGGUACGCGAGCUGGGUUUAGAACGUCGUGAGACAGUUCGGUCCCUAUCUGCCGUGGGCGCUGGAGAACUGAGGGGGGCUGCUCCUAGUACGAGAGGACCGGAGUGGACGCAUCACUGGUGUUCGGGUUGUCAUGCCAAUGGCACUGCCCGGUAGCUAAAUGCGGAAGAGAUAAGUGCUGAAAGCAUCUAAGCACGAAACUUGCCCCGAGAUGAGUUCUCCCUGACUCCUUGAGAGUCCUGAAGGAACGUUGAAGACGACGACGUUGAUAGGCCGGGUGUGUAAGCGCAGCGAUGCGUUGAGCUAACCGGUACUAAUGAACCGUGAGGCUUAACCUU